AAACUUCACUAUAGAAGUCUGCUUUUCCUCUUCACCUGAAACUUCAGUUGGUUUGGCCUCUGAAGUAGUAGCAGUGGGUUCUAUCUUCUUCUUAUUGGGUUGUGGCGGUUUGAAGAGCUGAAGGAAACUGCCGGUUUGGCGUCUGAAGUAGUAGCAGUGGGUUCUAUCUUCUUCUUAUUGGGUACUGGCGGUUUGAAGAGCUGAAGGAAACUGCAGAGCAAUGAGAAAAUAGGGUUUUUGUUGGGUUUGUCAUCUUUUCCGGCAUCUGGGUUCGGAAUUGAGUCGUUGCAGAUUGUUGUUUUGGUUUCCGCCAUAGCCAAUUUAGAGUUUUGACUUUA
rnacentral:lncRNA from 1 species